rnacentral:rRNA from 1 species
UACCACAGCCAAAUUAUCCUGCAGCACAAGACUGGUGACUCACUGAAGCUAAGCAGAGCGGAGCCUGGUCAGUUCAUGGAUGGGAGACCACAUGGGAAAACUAGGUUGCUGUUGGAA